rnacentral:rRNA from 1 species
GAUUAGUGGCGACGGGUGAGUAACACGUGGGCAAUCUGCCCUGCACUCUGGGACAAGCCCUGGAAACGGGGUCUAAUACCGGAUAUGACCGUCCAUCGCAUGGUGGAUGGUGUAAAGCUCCGGCGGUGCAGGAUGAGCCCGCGGCCUAUCAGCUAGUUGGUGAGGUAGUGGCUCACCAAGGCGACGACGGGUAGCCGGCCUGAGAGGGCGACCGGCCACACUGGGACUGAGACACGGCCCAGACUCCUACGGGAGGCAGCAGUGGGGAAUAUUGCACAAUGGGCGAAAGCCUGAUGCAGCGACGCCGCGUGAGGGAUGACGGCCUUCGGGUUGUAAACCUCUUUCAGCAGGGAAGAAGCGAAAGUGACGGUACCUGCAGAAGAAGCGCCGGCUAACUACGUGCCAGCAGCCGCGGUAAUACGUAGGGCGCAAGCGUUGUCCGGAAUUAUUGGGCGUAAAGAGCUCGUAGGCGGCUUGUCACGUCGGUUGUGAAAGCCCGGGGCUUAACCCCGGGUCUGCAGUCGAUACGGGCAGGCUAGAGUUCGGUAGGGGAGAUCGGAAUUCCUGGUGUAGCGGUGAAAUGCGCAGAUAUCAGGAGGAACACCGGUGGCGAAGGCGGAUCUCUGGGCCGAUACUGACGCUGAGGAGCGAAAGCGUGGGGAGCGAACAGGAUUAGAUACCCUGGUAGUCCACGCCGUAAACGGUGGGCACUACGUGUGGGCACAUUCCACGUUGUCCGUGCCGCAGCUACGCAUUAGUGCCCGCUGGGGAGUACGCGCAGCUAAACUCAAGAUGACG